rnacentral:lncRNA from 1 species
GCAACCCGACCCGUCUCGGCCAACCGUGCACCUCCCGCACUCUCCCUCCCACCCACGCACGCACCCUCGCGCGCUCUCCUCCUCCACCACCACCUCACCCGUCCGGGCUCGGCGGCGUGGCUCCGCAGGAAGGGAUCGCCGGUGCGGGCGUCACCGGUGACGGGCCGUUUUGGGUAUGAGAGGGGACCUCCGCGAGGCGCCGAGCACCACCACCACCACCGCAGCAUCCAGCGUCGACGUCGGCGGCCCCAUGGACGGCCUCCUCGUCUUCGUCUUCUACCUCUCGCUUCCUAUACGUGGCGCCCGCGACCACUCCUCCUCCCUCUCCUCUAAUUGCUAGCCUCCCGCCCGGAUCG